rnacentral:rRNA from 1 species
UUCUGGUUGAUCCUGCCGGAGGUUACUGCUAUUGGAAUCCGAUUAAGCCAUGCGAGUCGAUCGGGUCAGACCCGAGGCGCACUGCUCAGUAACACGUGGAGAAUCUGCCCUUAGGUGAGGAAUAACCUCGGGAAACUGAGAAUAAUACCUCAUAGGUUAUGGAUGCUGGAAUGCUUCAUAGCCCAAAGCCCCGGCGCCUAAGGAUGACUCUGCGGACUAUCAGGUAGUAGUCAGGGUAAGGACCUGACUAGCCUACGACGGAUACGGGGUGUGAGAGCACUAGCCCGGAGAUGGAUUCUGAGACACGAAUCCAGGCCCUACGGGGUGCAGCAGGCGCGAAACUUCCGCAAUGCUCGCCAGAGUGACGGAGGGAUUCCAAGUGCCUAUGCUAUGCGUAGGC